GACGAACCGUGCGAACGUUGUUCGGAUUCACUGGGCUUAAAGGGCGCGUAGGCGGAUGGUCAAGUCGGGGGUGAAAUCUUUCAGCUUAACUGGAAAAGUGCCUCCGAUACUGAUCGUCUCGAGGGAGGUAGGGGCAUGUGGAACUUCCGGUGGAGCGGUGAAAUGCGUAGAGAUCCGGAAGAACACCGGUGGCGAAGGCGGUUCUCUGGGCCUGUUCUGACGCUGAGGAGCGAAAGCGUGGGGAGCGAACAGG
rnacentral:rRNA from 1 species